rnacentral:rRNA from 1 species
GUGGAUUAGAUACCCUGGUAGUCCACACCGUAAACGUUGGGCGCUAGGUGUGGGGCCUAUUCCAUGGGUUCCGUGCCGCAGCUAACGCAUUAAGCGCCCCGCCUGGGGAGUACGGCCGCAAGGCUAAAACUCAAAGGAAUUGACGGGGGCCCGCACAAGCGGCGGAGCAUGCGGAUUAAUUCGAUGCAACGCGAAGAACCUUACCUGGGUUUGACAUACACCCUGCCGCUCCAGAGAUGGGGCUUCUUUUGGGGGUGUACAGGUGGUGCAUGGCCGUCGACAACU